CUCUGUGUCUUCAGCUUUGACGGGGUAGCAAAGGCCUCGCUAUGAGUGAAAGUUACUGCCGCAUGUCUUUGUAGUUUCUAAAGCUAAAGACCCCUCAGCCCGUCUCCUUCCUCUGCUCCACGCUUUGAGUGACUGACAGAAGGGCAGGCAGAAGCUGAACCUCACACGCUAGCUACAGUCGGCUACAGCAGGACGAGAGAGAGAGGGGGGGAGGGAGUUUACGCAGCGUUAGAUUUGGCUUCAGUGACAGGAACAUGUUUGGGCAUCAGAUGAAGCUAUUUUUAGGAACAAACUGUCAAUGCAUCUGAAACGGCACGCCAGCAGCCGUGAUCAGAGGAGACCUGCCUUGCGCUCGGGAUGUCAGGGAUUGUUUUGUGCUUUCACAAACGAACAUUUUAGCUGUAGCUUAGCAUUCGCGAGAUUAGAAAGAAAAGAAGUGGAAUGCAGCAGAGCUCCGUGACGAUCCGUACUCUAGCGAGAGAAUCAGUCCGGCGUUCAGCUCAAGAGGCAAAGUGACAAAGGAGGAAGGAGACGGUAAAGGAGCCCGGUCAGAUGCAGAGUCACCUUCCCUCCUAUUGGUCAACUUGAGGAGGAGUUGGGAAAGCUCUUAUAUUUAUUUUUCAUAUGCAGUGUUUGUCAGAUGAAUUAAUUACUUUAUCAAGCCAUUUAUUUAUUUGGAUUUUUAGUGCCUAUCUUGGCAGGACCAGUCCUCCGUAGGAACAAAGGAAGCACUAAAAACUGGCUAAUUUAUU